AGGGCGAGCCGUUACGCGCAGCCGUUGACGCCUCCCCCGAUGGCGGCCGCGCUGAGAAUGGCGCGGUGACACCUGAGAGCGGGCUGCGCGUUUCCUUCGUGAGGCCGGCAGCCCUCGGGCUCCAGUCAAACGCGCCUGAGUGAACCAUCACGACGAGGAAACUGUCACGGAGAUAAAAUAACUUCAGCCAGCAUUUACAGGUGCUGUGGGUGCUGCCCAAGUAACAAAUCUUUACAGUCCGAUUUUCUGCAUGCAUCCAGCAGAGCCCUGUGCUGAUGUUGCUGCCAUCACUGCUGUAAUCCUAUGAUAUAAAAGUACAAUGUCACUGAGAAAGUGAUGCACUUAAACUGCAGGAGAACACUCUGAAGGUGGAGGUACAAUAACUGCCAGCUUGCUACCACAAUUUGGGCUGCCCUGCUUACCUCUUCACACCAUGGUUCUGGUGAUAGACCUCAUGGGACUCCAAGCAACAGAAAGUGGCACAGGAGCAAUGGACUCCAACAAUUUCACCACCAAUACUGCUAUGAGUAGAAAUGCAGCCUACUAGCCAUGCCAGAGAAAAGAGGCAACAAAGAAGCUCUAGCAGGUGACAUGUUACAGUACUAAAGAGGCAAACAGCAGAAGUUAAAGUUGUUAGCACCUACAAAGUCCAGUUUCCUACCAGGGAGAAUGGAGUUCCAGCUCUAGAUGAGAUUAUGCCUCUUCAGAUGCUGAGCUACUCAGAAGCAGGUAGACAUCAUUACUGAGACACGUCUACACCUGACCCUGCUUGGACUUGGGAAUUGCUGGGGAGCAGAUAUGUUUAUAUAUGCCAAGGAAAUCAUGGAGAGCAUGGGAGGUGAGACCCACAGCAAUCCACCAGCUCUGAGACCCCUAUGCAAGUACCCUGCAGGAGUAUGCAUGAGCUGGAAGUUGAUGUCCUUCCCCCCUCGCUAGACGUAAUUCAAGAACUUGUUAUACAAAAUAAGGGAAAACAGAGGACUUGACCCUGCCUGCAUAGGAGAGCUGAGAAGGAUGCGGUAGCCAACAGAACAAGACACAAGCACUAAAAGCAUAUGUGGAUACUCGGCCCUCUUUUAAAGUUUUCUUGAAAAGGCAGAGAUGUAUGAGGACAUAAGCAAUAGCUUAUUGUGUAAUUACUAUAUAUGUGAUAAAGACAAAUCAUACUAAUCACACCCUAAUCUCUGAGAAAAUAAAAAUGAAGAACUCUGCAUCACAGAUGGAAUUCUUUUUUAAAAAAGGGAGGACUGUAAGGGAGAAAAAGCACAGGAAAAAAUUACUACUAACCUGAUCUUUGUUAUAGAAUUGUCUGUAAACUUGGAAGUAAAAAAAAAAAGUUAUUUUCAGUUCUGUAUUAUCUGUUAAGCUCUUAAAAAAAAACCUAUGCUUACCAACGCAUUUCACAAAAAACAUGGAACUCCAACAUUUAAAGAAAGAAUACUGAAGAUAACUCUGGAUAAUAUUAAACAUUUGUGUUCUUGUGUGGUAUGAAUGUUAACUAACUAGUAGGUGAAAAUACAAACUCUGACUCCAACUUUAUCCUGCCCCAAAUUCAACUCAGAACUGCGAUACGUUGGCAAUAACUUAAGAAAUGAUAAUUAGCUAAAAUAAAAGGGAGAAUGAAAAUAUUAGACAUUCAGAAAUCUAAAGAUAUGAAAUACCUGUUGCAAAAGCUCAGUAUGUUUACUUUUAAUUGUACGAAGGUUGAGUCUAAUGCUAUAGAAAAGUAAAGAAAAGCACAAGUUUCUAUCAUCUGAUUGAUUAGUCAUUACUAAGAAUUUUAACAGAGCUGUUUCCAGCGUUUGGAAAUUCCUGCCAAUAGCCACAUACUGCCUUAGAACUUCAUUAUUAACUGCUUUCUUCUAAAAGAAAUGGGUGUGCAACCUUUGUUUACUCCUUUCUCCCCUGU